rnacentral:rRNA from 1 species
AUUGAACGCUGGCGGCAUGCCUUACUCAUGCAAGUCGAACGGCAGCACGGGUGCUUGCACCUGGUGGCGAGUGGCGAACGGGUGAGUAAUACAUCGGAACAUGUCCUGUAGUGGGGGAUAGCCCGGCGAAAGCCGGAUUAAUACCGCAUACGAUCCACGGAUGAAAGCGGGGGACCUUCGGGCCUCGCGCUAUAGGGUUGGCCGAUGGCUGAUUAGCUAGUUGGUGGGGUAAAGGCCUACCAAGGCGACGAUCAGUAGCUGGUCUGAGAGGACGACCAGCCACACUGGGACUGAGACACGGCCCAGACUCCUACGGGAGGCAGCAGUGGGGAAUUUUGGACAAUGGGCGAAAGCCUGAUCCAGCAAUGCCGCGUGUGUGAAGAAGGCCUUCGGGUUGUAAAGCACUUUUAUCCGGAAAGAAAUCCUUGACUCUAAUACAGUCGGGGGAUGACGGUACCGGAAGAAUAAGCACCGGCUAACUACGUG